UGCCGACCACAUCACUGACGCUCAUGCACGAAAGCGUGGGUAUCGAACAGGAUUAGAUACCCUGGUAGUCCACGCAGUAAACGAUGAUGACUAGCUGUCCGGGGCGAUUGUGCUCUGGGGGGCACAGCGAAAGCGUUAAGUCAUCCACCUGGGGAGUACGCCGGCAACGGUGAAACUCAAAGGAAUUGACGGGGGCCCGCACAAGCGGAGGAACAUGUGGUUUAAUUCGAUGAUACGCGAGGAACCUUACCCGGGCUCAAACGACAGAGGACGCAUUCCGAAAGGAAUGUUCCAGCAAUGGUCUCUGUCGAGGUGCUGCAUGGUUGUCGUCAGCUCGUGCCGUGAGGUGUCGGCUUAAGUGCCAUAACGAGCGCAACCCCCAUCUUCAGUUGCUACCGCGUUUAGGGCGGGCACUCUGGAGAGACUGCCGGCGCAAGCUGUGAGGAAGGCGGGGAUGACGUCAAAUCAGCACGGCCCUUACGUGCGGGGCGACACGCGUGUUACAAAGGCGGGGACAGCAGGAAGCACAGAGCGACUCCGAGCCGAUCCCUAAACCCGUCUCAGUCGGAUCGGAGUCUACAACUCGCUCCGUGAAGCGGA
rnacentral:rRNA from 1 species